rnacentral:rRNA from 1 species
CCCCUAGAUGUUCUGGGCCGCACGCGCGCUACACUGAACAGUUCAACAAGUCUUAACCUUGGCCGAUAGGUCUGGGUAAUCUUUGAACGCUGUUCGUGACUGGGAUAGACCUUUGCAAUUAUGGGUCUUCAACGAGGAAUUCCUAGUAAACGCAAGUCAUCAGCUUGCAUUGAUUACGUCCCUGCCCUUUGUACACACCGCCCGUCGCACCUACCGAUUGAAUGGUCCGGUGAAAUCUCGGGACGGCGGCUUGGUCGCUUGCGUCCGACUGCUGAAACUUGAUUAAACCAUAUCAUUUAGAGGAAGGUGAAGACGUAACA